rnacentral:misc_RNA from 1 species
GAAAUGCGAUACUUGGUGUGAAUUGCAGAAUCCCAUGAACCAUCGAGUCUUUGAACGCAAGUUGCGCCUGAAGCGUCAUGUAUCGUGUCUCCCCUAACCCACCUUGUGUGGGAAGGUGGGAGGAAGAUGGCUUCCCAUGCCUCACUGGGCAUGGUUAGCCUAAAUAAGGAGCCUUAGGUUACAAAAUGCUGCAUCUACUAGUGGUACCACAAGGCUCAGCCUAGCUGUAUCGAGUCGCGUAGGACGUAGCCUUUACGGCCUUGUAGGACCCGGAGUGUCCCCUUUAGGAGACAAACCGUUGCGACCCCAGGUCAGGCGGGGCUACCCGCUGAGUUUAA